rnacentral:rRNA from 1 species
AAAACUACAUUUCUUGAGUUUGGUAGAGGAGAGUGGAAUUCCUAGUGUAGAGGUGAAAUUCGUAGAUAUUAGGAGGAACACCAGUGGCGAAGGCGACUCUCUGGGCCAAUACUGACGCUGAGGUUCGAAAGCAUGGGUAGCGAACAGGAUUAGAUACCCUGGUAGUCCAUGCAGUAAACGAUGAGUGCUAGAUGUUGGGAAUUUAAAUUUCCAGUAUCGCAGUUAACGCGUUAAGCACUCCGCCUGGGAAGUACGGCCGCAAGGCUAAAACUCAAAUGAAUUGACGGGGACCCGCACAAGCGGUGGAUCAUGUGGUUUAAUUCGAAGAUACGCGAAGAACCUUACCGGCCCUUGACAUACCAAUCGCGGACUUAAGAGAUUAAGUCUUUCACUUCGGGUGGAUUGGAUACAGGUGCUGCAUGGCUGUCGUCAGCUCGUGUCGUGAGAUGUUGGGUUAAGUCCCGCAACGAGCGCAACCCUUACCUUCAAUUGCCAGCACAUUAUGGUGGGAACUUUGAAGGAACUGCCGGUGAUAAGCCGGAGGAAGGUGGGGAUGACGUCAAGUCCUCAUGGCCCUUACGGGCCGGGCUACACACGUGAUACAAUGGUAACUACAAAAGGCAGCGAAGGAGCGAUCUGGAGCAAAUCUCAAAAAGUUACCUCAGUUCGGAUUGCACUCUGCAACUCGAGUGCAUGAAGUUGGAAUCGCUAGUAAUCGUAGAUCAGCGCGCUACGGUGAAUACGUUCCCGGGUCUUGUACACACCGCCCGUCACACCAUGGGAGUUGGUUUUACCUGAAGCUGGUUCGCUAACCGUAAGGAGGCAGCCAACCACGGUAAGAUUAGCGACUGGGGUGAAGUCGUAACAAGGUAACCGUA